AGCGAACGCUGGCGGCAGGCCUAACACAUGCAAGUCGAACGAAGCCUUCGGGCUUAGUGGCAGACGGGUGAGUAACACGUGGGAACGUACCUUUUGGUUCGGAACAACUCAGGGAAACUUGAGCUAAUACCGGAUGAGCCCUUAGGGGGAAAGAUUUAUCGCCGAAAGAGCGGCCCGCGUUAGAUUAGCUAGUUGGUGAGGUAAAGGCUCACCAAGGCAACGAUCUAUAGCUGGUCUGAGAGGAUGAUCAGCCACACUGGGACUGAGACACGGCCCAGACUCCUACGGGAGGCAGCAGUGGGGAAUCUUGCGCAAUGGGCGAAAGCCUGACGCAGCCAUGCCGCGUGAAUGAUGAAGGUCUUAGGAUUGUAAAAUUCUUUUACCAGGGACGAUAAUGACGGUACCUGGAGAAAAAGCCCCGGCUAACUUCGUGUCAGCAGCCGCAGUAAGAC
rnacentral:rRNA from 1 species